rnacentral:lncRNA from 1 species
CUGUCUAUUGCUGUUUGAUAUUAGGGUGGGGUUGGAUCUAAAGGGAGAAAGUAUGGGCAGUGUUGUAUAAAGAAAAGAACCUUAGACUAAGAACCAGGAUAUCUGACUACAAAAUACAACUCUGCUCUGAAUGAACUGAGUCAAUUAACCAUUUUGGACCAAACCUGAGCUUAAAUCUGGGUCACCUGUGUGACUUUGGGCUCUGAGAAAUCUUGUUCUUUCCAGAAGAUUUUGUCACUGAAGCAUGCUCUUUCUCUAAUGCCCCCAGAAGCACUAAGCCAAGAAGAAAACAGAGGUCUUGGCUUCCUACUUCACUAAAAAAAAAAAAAAGAGGCCAUCUGUAAAGUAAGCAGA